GUUCAGCCAUCAAAACCUGACUGGACAAAAGAAACCAUCAGCUUGUAGGGCGGUGAGGCAGACUGGAAGCUCCUGGGAGAUCGUUUCCCUCAUGGAAGAUCACAGGAAUGUAAAAGGGCAAGCAGAAAACCGGAUGUGUCUUUCAUAGCUUCCCCUGGACUAAGUGUAUUGUGAAUUCCAGCACAUUCCGUGGUCCCAAUUGAGUCAUCACACCCCACCCAGGGCCGCCUGCGAAGCGCAUUCCCUGGCCCACUCUAUUGAACCACUAGUUCCCACAGCAGCAAAGAAUGGAGAACAGUCAUCUAAUCUACCACAGAAACCCAGUAGAAUAAAACAAUAUGAUGCAGAAGUAAAAACUUCCCAGGACCUGGAAUA